rnacentral:rRNA from 1 species
UACGUAGGGUGCAAGCGUUAAUCGGAAUUACUGGGCGUAAAGCGUGCGCAGGCGGUGAUGUAAGACAGGUGUGAAAUCCCCGGGCUUAACCUGGGAACUGCAUUUGUGACUGCAUCGCUGGAGUGCGGCAGAGGGGGAUGGAAUUCCGCGUGUAGCAGUGAAAUGCGUAGAUAUGCGGAGGAACACCGAUGGCGAAGGCAAUCCCCUGGGCCUGCACUGACGCUGAGGCCCGAAAGCGUGGGGAGCGAACGGGG